UACGUAGGGUGCGAGCGUUGUCCGGAUUUAUUGGGCGUAAAGAGCGUGUAGGCGGCCUUACAGGUCAGCUGUGAAAACUCGAGGCUCAACCUCGAGACGUCGGUUGAAACCGUAUGGCUAGAGUCCGGAAGAGGAGAGUGGAAUUCCCGGUGUAGCGGUGAAAUGCGCAGAUAUCGGGAAGAACACCCGUGGCGAAGGCGGCUCUCUGGGACGGUACUGACGCUGAGACGCGAAAGCGUGGGGAGCGAACAGG
rnacentral:rRNA from 1 species